rnacentral:lncRNA from 1 species
UAGUUUGCAUAUCAGUUUUUGUGAAUUGUUAGGCCAUGUCAGAUCAUCACAACAUUACUAACUUUAUAUUUCAAUAUAUUAAUUCUUUUUUAUUUAUACUUAUAUUUCAAUAAUUAACAAGCACUGUAAAACAACAGUAAGCAAGAAUGCUGCACUGGUGGAAUAGUGUAAACUAUCAUUACUCUUUGGAUAAAAAGAUGAAGUAUGCCUACUCUUAGACACUCAUAUUAAAGAUAAAAAGCCUUAUUUCACCACGCUAUAUGACUAGUUUUUUAACAACAACUUCUAUCUGCGGAACUGUAGCUGUUUUAUGUUAAAAGCUUCAACGUCACUUCCCAUUUACCAAAACUCAAAGUGACUGACAUUCAUCCUCUUAUUAACAUAACAAGCAACUUUACCCAGACAUCAGAUGCAACACUACAUCAUUAAGAAUGUAAAGUGUAGAUCUACAAAUGUGUAGUUUAAAGUACUUUAUGAUACACACUUUCUUUAGGAUACACAACAAUUGUCCAAAGAAGACUUCUUAAACAAUUAUCAAAUACAGUAAUCAGUGAAAGUGGCUAAGGUUGUCUUCUCAAACUAAAAAAAAUUGUAAAAAAUGUAUGUGUUUCAUAUAAUGUUUUACUAAUACAGAAGUUCUUUUUGGCCUGUUAGGAUUUGGAAACAAAAAUUAAGGCAUUGAAAAGACAGCAACAAAAAGCUCGUAGAAAAUCAAAAAAGAUCAUUUUGGCUGUUCAGAAAAAAAAUGAAAACACUUCUGAUAGUGAACACUCCUCCAGAGAACUUGAAUCAGACUACUCAUCAGACGACUCAGGAAAUAUGCUGAAUGUUGUGGAGCAGCAUCAAAAUGAAGACUUGCAAGAACAGUAUGAUUCAGAAUCACAACAGAAUACCAUAAUUAAUAUGCAAGAUCAAGUGCUAUGGUAUGAAAUUGAUAGACUAAAUGAUUCCAUGGAUGUUACCAGUGAAAGUAACUCAGAGCUAGCUUUGUCUCUGGAGAAAAAGCUGUCUGAGUGGGCAAUAAAAUUCAACAUCUCCAUGACCUCUCUCACUCAUUUGCUUAAGAUUUUGAAGGAACAUGACAUUGAUGUUCCAGCAGACGGACGAACACUAUUGAAAACACCUCGUUCUGGCAGUUUGAGAAUAACAGAAAAAUCAGGUGGCAAAUACACAUAUUUUGGAUUAAAGGAAGGUCUUACACAUACUCUGUCUGAGCAAGACACUUCAAAAUACGACCACUUUGAGAUUUCUUUGAAUAUUGAUGGCCUACCCAUUUUCAAGUCCAAAAACCUCACAAUGUGGCCACUUCAGUGUGCUGUCAUCAACGUUGAUGAAGUGAAAAACAGUCCUUUCGUUGUUGCUCUGUUUUCUGGAGCAAAGAAACCAAGUGAUUUGGAGUUUUUGAGGGAUUUUAUGGAGGAGCUGCAAGAACUGAUGGAAACAGGCUUUAAAGGGAAGAGAAUUGUCCUCAAAAACAUCAUAUGUGAUGCACCAGCACGAGCCCUCAUCAAAGGAAUAGUUCAGUUUAAUGGCCGCUAUGGCUGUGACUUUUGUGAUGUAAAGGGAGUUCAUGAGAGCAAAAUGCUUUUUUUGUAUAAAGGAAAUCUCAGAACCAAUGAGUCAUUUAGACAGAAGACAAAUCCUGAACAUCACCUAACAGAUAGCAUUCUUUUGAAUCUGGACAUUGAUAUGAUCAGGCAGUUCCCAAUAGAUCCCAUGCAUUGUGUAGAUCUAGGAGUGACUAAGCGAAUGUUGAUGCUGUGGAAAGAAGGACCUUUGGCCCAUAGAUUAUCAGCUGGACAUCUUAGCACCAUUACUUAUUUUCAUCAAGCUGUCCGAAAUCACAUACCUCCUGAAUUCAAUAGGAAACCCAGGGGGUUAGAUGAACUGAAGCACUGGAAAGCAACUGAAUUCCGAACAUUUUUGCUUUAUACUGGACCAGUGAUUUUGAAAUAUGUUCUCGAUAAGGAGAAGUAUAUUCACUUCCUUUCACUUAGUAUUGGAAUGCGCAUCUUGUACAGUGAAAACCUAAUGGAGCAUCGUGAUUAUGCAGAUGAGCUGUUAACAUAUUUUGUUGAAAAAGGUAGCAGCCUGUAUAGCAUGAGUUUCAUCUCAUAUAAUGUGCAUUGCUUGCUACAUCUCACUGAUGUUGCAAAUUACAACAGAUCAUUACACUAUUGUUCAGCGUACAAGUUUGAGAACAAUAUGGGUCAAAUCAAGAGGUUUAUCCGCGGUUCAAGUGAUCCACUGAUUCAAGUAGCUAACAGAUUGGCAGAGAGGCAAGCAAUAUCAAGUUCUAAGAAAUCAAAUGUUACCUCUGGUAUGCCAAAGACAAAAGAAUGUUACAGAAUGACCAAUGAUAGCUACUGCCUUAUACAUGGAGUUCAAGAAAAUCUGAUUUUUUGUGAGGUUUUUUGCAGAAUGGAACCUUUGUACACUAAGCCAUGUGACUCCAGAAUAAUUGGCAUAUUCAAAGGAUUUCGGAAUCACACUAAAAUGUUACAUACUGACACCACUCAACUGAGACAUAAAGCAAUCAUGAUACCUUUGUCAUUGAUUGAUAAAGAUGAAUACAAUGCGGUAGCGCUUAUACCGCUCAUGCAUUCAGUUUGA